rnacentral:lncRNA from 1 species
GUAACGUUGUUUAUUAAACAGACCGUCCGAUACAAACUCUUAGUUAGUACUAUUGCUCAAAAACUGAUUCUCUUGAAUCAGCAGACUCGAGUGUUUAUAGCGCCGCCAAGAAGCUGUGUUGUGUGUGUUGAUCGUCUCCACCAUGCACGCGAUAAUCAAGACCAGCAACGUCUUGAUCAAGAAGAAGAAAAGAACGGAGAAGCAAAGAACGACGAUGUAAAUAGCGGGAACAGUUUUCCAUACUGGUACGCUGUAUGACGUCGAGCAUUGCCAAAAUGGAAGUGCUCUUUGAAGAACUGAGCGUCUAAAUCUUCUUCAGUCAGAUGAAGCUAACGGAUUCGGAAAUCGUCGAAGAAGCAGAGGACAUCACAGCUAAAAAAAAAACACUGCUUUUAAAUUAUCUAUCAGGGAAGCCCUAAUAAGAGGUCCAAGAGAAAUUUAUUCGGGUUAACUGAUACCAUGCCACGUACUAAAUCGUUAAUGGUUUUCAGGUAAAAAAUAACCAUGGGAAUAUGGGGUCGCAGAAAUAGAUGUCACUGGUGGAAAAUAAGAAGGUGAUAUGGUAUUUUUCUUUUCUACUGUCUGAUUUUUAAAGAUUUGGUGAGGAACAUCCAAUCUGUCGAUCGCGGUCGCUAACCAAUUGUUAGAAAAACAGCACCAAUAAUGGUCGAACUCGGAUGUGCUUUAUUCGAGAUUUUAACACAAAUUGCAUUUUAUACAUAAAAAAAUUUAUCAUAAAGCUACAAUGUUACAGCAUUACCCGUACUAUGGCUCGUCCCGGUUUGUAUUGCUUUGUAUAAUCUUUAGUUGAACGCUAAAUUAAUUAGAGGCUAGCUAAGAGAAUUUGGCUAGAUCUUUACAAGAUUAGUGAAUGUGAUUUUUUAAAGAAAUUGUGCCUGUUGCACAUCAUCGAUAUUAUUGGCCUUGAUUCUUAAAGGUGGCUUGGCUAAACUUUCGACGGUUAAACUCUAUUUAAUAAAGAGAUAAUAUAACAUUUAGCUAAUGAUCUUGCAUUCUUGACUAAAUAUUUUCAGGCAACUUUUGAAGUUUUUGUGGGCACUGAUUUGCAGAGUGCUCGUGACCAACAGAUAAAAUGGCCCAAUCCAUAUUGCAAAUUUGCAAGCUGUCUUCCAAAACCAUCCAAAACCAAGGAAUUUCUAUUUGCAAGGUAAUUAUUUCAACCAGCAAUGUUUCUUUUAAUUACUGUGGUA